AGAGUUUGAUCCUGGCUCAGGACGAACGCUGGCGGCGUGCUUAACACAUGCAAGUCGAACGGUGAAGCAGAGCUUGCUCUGUGGAUCAGUGGCGAACGGGUGAGUAACACGUGAGUAACCUGCCCUUGACUCUGGGAUAAGCGUUGGAAACGACGUCUAAUACCGGAUACGACCUUCGGAGGCAUCUCCUGGGGGUGGAAAGAAUUUCGGUCAAGGAUGGACUCGCGGCCUAUCAGCUUGUUGGUGAGGUAAUGGCUCACCAAGGCGACGACGGGUAGCCGGCCUGAGAGGGUGACCGGCCACACUGGGACUGAGACACGGCCCAGACUCCUACGGGAGGCAGCAGUGGGGAAUAUUGCACAAUGGGCGCAAGCCUGAUGCAGCAACGCCGCGUGAGGGACGACGGCCUUCGGGUUGUAAACCUCUUUUAGUAGGGAAGAAGCGAAAGUGACGGUACCUGCAGAAAAGCACCGGCUAACUACGUG
rnacentral:rRNA from 1 species